UCUGCGGCCGCUGAUGCGCUUGCGCGCUCGCGGUCUAGGUAGUCUUCCUAGCUUUACCUAAUGCCCGGCCGGCCCGUGCUCAUCCUUCCGCGCCUUCACGGUCGCCUUGGCCUGCAUUGCCUUUCUGCGUACUCUGCGUUCCCCAAUGGGAGGAGGGUCUGGUGAUAAAAUAGCGGCGAGGAAGACUUCACUCUCUACCAUUUAGAGUUCAAAAUGGGUUGUAAAGCAGUGGAGACAACUCACAACAUCAACAGCGUAUUUGGCCCAGAAAUUGCUAAUGAAAACGUACAGUGUAGUAGUGGUUCAAGAAGUUUCGAAAAGUAGAGGAGAGCCUUGAAGAUGUGGAGCAUAGUGACUGGCCAUUGGAAGUUGACAACAACCAAUUAAGAGCAAUCCUCGAAGCCAGUCCUCUUAACAACUACACGAGAAGUUGCCGAAGAACUCAACGUUGACCAUUCUGCAGUCAUUUGGCAUUUGAAGCAAAUUGGAUAGGUGAAAAAGCUUGAUAAGCGGGUGCCUCAUGAACUAAGUGAAUAUUUAAAAAAUCAUCCUUUUGAAAUGUCAUUUUCUCUUAAUCUAUGCAACAACAGUGAACCGUUUCUCAAUCAGAUUGUGAUGUGCCACAAAAAGUGGAUUUUAUAUGAUAACCAGUGACGACCAGCUCAGUGGUUGGACCAGGACGCUCCAAAGCACUUCCCAAAGCCGAACUUGCACCAGAAAAAGGUCAUGGUCACUGCUUGGUGGUCUGCUGCGGGUCUGAUCGACUACAACUUUCUGAAUCCUGUGGAAACCCUUAAUCUGAGAAGUAUGCUCAGCAAUUCGAUGAGAUGCACCAAAAACUGCAAUGCCUGCAGCCAGCAUUGGUCAACAGAAAGGGCCCAAUUCUUCUCCAUGACAGUGCCCAACGGCAUGUUGCACAGCCAGUGCUUCAAAAGUUGAACGAAUUGGGCUACGAAGUUUUGCCUCAUCCUCCAUAUUCACCUGACCUCUCACCAACUGACUACCACUUCUUCAAGCAUCUCAACAACUUUUUGGAGGGAAAAUGCUUUCCAAGAGUUCGUCAAAUUCCAAAGCAUGGAUUUUUAUGCUACAGGAGUAAACAAACAUUUCUUGUUGGCAAAAAUGUGUUGAUUGUAAUGGUUCCUAU